rnacentral:rRNA from 1 species
UACGUAGGGUGCAAGCGUUAUUCGGAAUUACUGGGCGUAAAGCGUGCGCAGGCGGUUGUGCAAGACCGCUGUGAAAUCCCCGGGCUCAACCUGGGAAUGGCAUUGGUGACUGCACGGCUAGAGUGUGUCAGAGGGGGGUAGAAUUCCACGUGUAGCAGUGAAAUGCGUAGAGAUGUGGAGGAAUACCGAUGGCGAAGGCAGCCCCCUGGGAUAACACUGACGCUCAUGCACGAAAGCGUGGGGAGCAAACAGG